rnacentral:lncRNA from 1 species
UUUUUGUAUAGGUCCACCAUCUUCUGGCUCAGUCAUUCCCUUCUAAUUCACCUACUAUUAUUCUUUUCUUUAUCGUCUUAAAAUUCAAGUAAGGCAUCACCUCUCCAUGAAGGAUUUGCCCCUAAAGACACACACACUUACUUGUGAGUAACAUCUGUCCUCUGGUAGUGCCUAAGGCGUUCCUCUAUCAGGACAGGUUUCAUAUUACAUAGUAUUCAAAAUUAGUGUCUAUGUGUCUUUUUUCCCCUGGUGGAUUGUGAACUCCUCAAGGAAAGGGGCCAUGUUUUAUCUGUCCCUGAAUUCCUUGCAUGUAGCACAGGCCUGCCCCGUGGUGAGCAGGUAACAAAUCUGAAGAGAGGUGAGAGUGCUAGCUUAAGUGCUGGUUCCUCAGGCACACACUGUGUCAACUGCUCUUGUUUUAACUGACCAGGGUUGAACUUUGGCAACAUCUUUAGCAAGAAAGGAAAGGAGCGGUGUAAUGUGCUACUGCAUAGGGAAGAGCUCAAGCUUCAGUUGCCUGCCUCAUGGCUGUUCUGAGCUAUCAGGAUGCACCUAGAAGAACCACAGGAGCAUGGACGAACCCUUGAGAAAGAAGCUCAAGUCAAUCAAACAUCAUUAGAACUCGCCUAUAUGUCAAACACCUGUCCACGCCUUUAAACUCCAGAGAAGAUAUAUCCAAGCUUUCUGAACACACACAGUGCUCCUCCUUUCAGAUGCCCUGCUUCUCUCAGAAUGGAUACUGACCAGCAUCUUCAGAUAAUUCCUCCACACAGGUCUCUCCCAUCAAUUCUCAUUGCAGUUUAGUGGGAAGCAAUAUAUGGCAGAACACACUUUAUAAUUCUGCAGCAUGCCCUUCCUGCAAGGUUUCACAUAACACUUCAGACUUUAGGAGAGCUGCAAGAUGGACAUGUCUAUGUCUCAGGUCAGGUCACACAGAUGAAGACCACACCCUAGGAAUGAUGGAAGAAAAAGAUGAAUGGAAUCUGUAUUCCUUAUUGACUACAUAA